AGAGUUUGAUCCUGGCUCAGAAUCAACGCUGGCGGCGUGCCUCAGACAUGCAAGUCGAACGCGAAAGUUUCCUUCGGGGAGCGAGUAGAGUGGCGCACGGGUGAGUAACACGUAGGUAAUCUACCUUCGGAUGGGGAAUAACAACCGGAAACGGUUGCUAAUACCGCAUAAUGCAGCGGCACCUAAUGGUGACAGUUGUUAAAGCGGGGGAUCGUAAGACCUCGCGUCUGAAGAGGAGCCUGCGGCAGAUUAGCUUGUUGGUAAGGUAACGGCUUACCAAGGCGAUGAUCUGUAGCCGGCCUGAGAGGGCGGUCGGCCACACUGACACUGACAUACGGGUCAGACUCCUACGGGAGGCAGCAGUCGGGAAUUUUGGGCAAUGGGCGAAAGCCUGACCCAGCAACGCCGCGUGAAGGAUGAAAUCCCUCGGGAUGUAAACUUCGCAAGAACAGGAAGAAUAAGUAAGGGUUAACAUCUCUUACGAUGACGGUACUGUUUGUAAGCUCCGGCUAACUCCGUGCCAGCAGCCGCGGUAAU
rnacentral:rRNA from 1 species